CCUGGUGUAGGUAAUGCCUUCAGUGACAGCCUUGACUCUGAGGAGGUGGUAGCCUAGGACAGUUCAGUGACACUGAUUCUCUACACCCUGCCUGACCCCUGAGAAAGAGGCACGUCCCUCAACAUGCGAGGGAGCAUGGGUGUCUCGGUGGGAUCCAUGCUUUGCACCAGCACGGCCUCUGCAGGAGCCCCUCCCGGGCUGGCCAUGGCUGUCCCCUCCACCCCCUCCACACAGCCUCUCCGGGCCCCCUUUUCAGAAUCAGGACUCACACUCAACCAGAUGUUGCUGUUGGACAAGUCACCUAGCCACUCAGCUCCUCUCCUCCUCUGUUGUCAACCUCAACUUUCCUCAACUGUGACCAUCUCCAACGUUCCAGGAUUCUCUGAAAGCCAGUCCACUUAGAGACAUCUGGGGACAGUGCCCAGGAAAUAAUGGUAUUCAGAGAACUGCCUCAUAGCCAGUUGCUAUGCUUCUUACUGGUUCCUUAAGUCUAGGAUAGGCCUGGGCUCCAAGAUCCUGGCCCUCUCUUACCUGUGAGGCCUCAGGCAAAAGAUGCCUAAGCCAGGAACUUCCUCUGAUGAAUGUGAAACCCAAUAAAAUCUAACAACCAGCCCUCAUCCUGCCUCCGAACUUUUAGAUCCUAAGACCUGACAUGCUAUAGGGACUUGGGGAGUGCCUGCAGAAUGAAUGCAUGACUUGACAUGUUAGUAUGCAUUUACAUGGUGAUACUGUGUCACACUGCAUAUGUCUGAAUUAAACUUGCCUAUAUACUCACC